rnacentral:rRNA from 1 species
GCUACGGGUGGCAGCAGUGAGGAAUAUUGGUCAAUGGGCUUACGCCUGAACCAGCCAAGUCGCGUGAGUGAAGAAGUAAUUCGGUAUGUAAAGCUCUGUCAGCAGGGAAGAAGAAAGACGGUACCUGACCAAGAAGCCCCGGCUAACUACGUGCCAGCAGCCGCGGUAAUACGUAGGGGGCAAGCGUUAUCCGGAUUUACUGGGUGUAAAGGGAGCGUAGACGGCAGGGCAAGUCUGGAGUGAAAGGCAGGGGCCCAACCCCUGGACUGCUCUGGAAACUGUCCGGCUGGAGUGCAGGAGAGGUAAGUGGAAUUCCUAGUGUAGCGGUGAAAUGCGUAGAUAUUAGGAGGAACACCAGUGGCGAAGGCGGCUUACUGGACUGUAACUGACGUUGAGGCUCGAAAGCGUGGGGAGCAAACAGGAUUAGAUACCCUUGUAGUC